GGAGAGAUGGUCGAGCUGGUUUAAGGCGCACGCCUGGAAAGCGUGUGUAGGGGAAACCCUACCGGGGGUUCGAAUCCCCCUUUCUCCG
rnacentral:tRNA from 1 species